GACGAACGCUGGCGGCGUGCUUAACACAUGCAAGUCGAACGGAAAGGCCUCUUUCGGGGGGUACUCGAGUGGCGAACGGGUGAGUAACACGUGAGUAACCUGCCCUUGACUUUGGGAUAACUUCAGGAAACUGGGGCUAAUACCGGAUAGGAGCUCCUGCUGCAUGGUGGGGGUUGGAAAGGUUCGGCGGUUGGGGAUGGACUCGCGGCUUAUCAGCUUGUUGGUGGGGUAGUGGCUUACCAAGGCUUUGACGGGUAGCCGGCCUGAGAGGGUGACCGGCCACAUUGGGACUGAGAUACGGCCCAGACUCCUACGGGGGGCAGCAGUGGGGAAUAUUGCACAAUGGGUGGAAGCCUGAUGCAGCAACGCCGUGUGCGGGAUGACGGCCUUCGGGUUGUAAACCGCUUUCGCUCAUGACGAAGCUUUGUGUGACGGUAGUGGGUAAAGAAGCACCGGCUAACUACGUG
rnacentral:rRNA from 1 species